GGAGCAUUGUAGCAAUGCACCUGGGCAAUCACAAAAUUCAAGUUAAAGGUGCGUUAAUGUUAUCUGACACUUCAGCUGCUCUUCUCAAGCUAAACCCAGACAAUGAACAGUACUUUAGUGAUGAAAAGUCGAUGAAUCCAGCUUCUUAAUGAUCAGCUAUUCUGCAGUGGAGAGCACAGGUAGCUGUGAUAAUGAGAGAGAUUGGAUUGGGAAUUUUGUCAUAGCACAGGCUCAGUGAGCUAGACAAAGAGGGAGCCCACACAGGAUUUACAGUCAUUUUAACAAUAUUUGUAUUCGAAACUAAGACAAAAGCAACAAAAUAAAUGAAUCUGCAGUGUGUAAGUCAUUCGUGGUUGCACUUUUCACUUUAUGUGUGGUGAUGUGAGGGCAAAACAAAAAGGAAAACCAAAGACGGUGAUAUGAGAGAGAGGGGGGCAGCCUAAAUAACCCAGGCCCAGGUGCAAGACAUCAGGUUAGAUGGCUCCGCCCAUCUCUACCCAAAGGCAACCUGCAAAGGGAAAAAGCACAAGACAGCAGGAGGAGCACUGUCAGAGUCAGAGGCUGUCACAGAAUCUAAUUUGAUUUGCUGAGGAGAGUGAGUCCAGCCGUCUUACUGAGAGGAGAGUGACAUUGGCACUGUGUGGUAACCUACAGUCUGGCAGCAAAGCCAUUGCCGAAAUUGCCCAAAGCAUGAGAAGGGAGGGGAGGGAGGCUUUGAUGGACAGGCUGAACUCACAGUUACAGGUCAAGUGCAAUAUAUUCUCUGGUGGUCGCAAAUUGAACCCGUUUCACGAGAUGCAGAAUAAAUCCGCCCAUGGAGUUCAGAUACUGGUGGUGGUGGCUGAUGAUUCUGCUGAGGGCGAUGGCUGAAGAGGUUGAUGGAAUGAUGAGCUGAUGGAUCUGUGAAGACUGGGCGGAGAUGGGGAGGUGGAGGGGCGUGCAACCGUGGCACGAACAUACUGAAAGCUGAGAGAGAAUCAUAUUUAAACAGACGGUGGUAGGAUGAUAGGUUGACAGUGAAGGUGUGUCACUGUGCUAUUGGAUGGAUGAGACCAGCUGAUUUGACAACCCCGGAUAAUGACAGCAGGAAAUAUAUGUGAGCAUGCGUGAGAGGAGUGAAUUGCAGGAAGGUAUGAGAAUUACUACACCUAAGCAUGCAGAAGUCUAGUCUUCCUGACUGAACUUUCGCUAGAGCUUCAUUUCAAUCAGACUGAGCAGCGAAGGAGGGACUCUGCUUUGCUGAAAUUAGUGCAAGCACAUUAAUAGAGGGUAAUAAUAAUAAGCUGGUUGAUUAAACACAGUAUAAUUUUCAACUUGUGGACUGCUUAUGUUAGCCUGCUAGCCACAAUUUAUGCUUACAAUCCCGCCUUGCUAUUUUCCUGUUCUGCCUGCUUUUUGCUCCAGCACGCAAGGAAAUUUCAAAAUCUGCUCAGUUCGGCUGUGCCUCAGCUGCCUCACUCGAAUGACAAGCUAACGUUACAAGACAGUUGUGUUAUACAAAGUCAGCAAAUACAUGGACAGCGCAUUUCAGAAAACGCCCCCGGACUUUGGAGGAAGCUAAUGAUGUGUUUUUGUGCACUAAUUGAUUCUCACAUGGACAGCAUGAUCAUUAAAAAG